CGUGUAGGCUGCUCCGAAAGUCGGAUGUGAAAGCCCUGGGCUCAACCUAGGAAGUGCAUUCGAAACUUCGGAGCUGGAGUCCUGGAGAGGAAGGCGGAAUUCUCGGUGUAGAGGUGAAAUUCGUAGAUAUCGAGAGGAACACCGGUGGCGAAGGCGGCCUUCUGGACAGUGACUGACGCUGAGACGCGAAAGCGUGGGGAGCAAACA
rnacentral:rRNA from 1 species